UACGAAGGGGGCUAGCGUUGUUCGGAAUCACUGGGCGUAAAGGGCGCGUAGGCGGCUUUGUAAGUCGGGGGUGAAAGCCUGUGGCUCAACCACAGAAUUGCCCUUCGAUACUGCAUGGCUUGAGACCGGAAGAGGUAAGUGGAACUGCGAGUGUAGAGGUGAAAUUCGUAGAUAUUCGCAAGAACACCAGUGGCGAAGGCGACUCACUGGCCCGUUACUGACGCUGAGGCGCGAAAGCGUGGGAGCAAACAGG
rnacentral:rRNA from 1 species